AUAACAGCAGUUCUCUGGCCGAUACGUGUUUCACUUUCAUGGAUCCAGUUAGCUUGCCCUUUGAUUUGUUUGAUUAUCGGAAAGUGUUUUGGUGAGACAUCAUGUUUUCAGAAGUGCGCCAAUAUUACUGGAUCAGUCAGACCAAAUGCAGGUCUGGUCAGUAAAUGGCCAAACAGAUUGGCUGGGAAGAGCCAGCCAUUGUGUCUAUGACUGGAGAUGCCCUGGGAAGCAGAAAGGCUGAGAGGCUCGGUGCCUGCACCUGCUCUUGUUGCAAGUCAUGCAGAUGGGGAAGCUGCCUCCCAUGGAAGCCAGAUGUUAUCAGCCAGCUGACGGUAUUUUGCCUCUGUGUCAGACACCAACUGCUGUCUCCAAAAUCCAGCUGAGUUCAGAACUUGCUGAGUCACAUUUUCACUCAUGUUCCUGAGAGUCACACUGUUAUAGGCACUGUUUGGCCAGAGAGUAGAUUGCUCUCACCCUGAAGCGCAUCCAGGAAUGCUGAUCUCCACACUUAUCUGUUUGGCUGCUGAGGUGAUCUACCACUUGGAAUCACUUGCUAAUUGUUCUUCUUGUCUCACUGUCUGGGGAGCAUGUGGUAUUUCUGUCAGCCUGGUGAGCCACAGCCUUCCAGAUCUCCUCAAGGAGUGAAGAGCAGGGGGAUAACUUCAAUUCUUUUUUAUCUAUAAAAUUGGCUGUGCGUCCGUUGCACCUAAGCUGGCCAGGCUCUGCUGUCUGCAGUGAGUUCGGACUGCCUGCAAAGCCCUUCUGCCCUAGGACUCUGGUCCACCUCGUCUGAGCAAUUUUUAGGAAGUAUAUGAAGACUUUCAAGUCAGACACAGGGUUGGGGUCUACAUGCAUGACAGGGAGACUUCUGCCCUUCUGUUCUGCAGCUGAUCUCUGAACCUACCUCUGCUCUGAUCAGUUGAGUCCCUGUGAAGCCUCCAUGACGUUUAAUGGGGCUAUGUAGAAUUAUUCAAGUUUUCUGCAUCCUGACAUUGGGAACGGAUUUCUGCUGAUUCAAUAUUAAUGAGCGCUCAAAAUACAGAAGGCUGUGAAGGCAAAGGCUAGACAACAGUGUACUGGGGUGUAUCAGCUGGAAUGUAACCAACAGGUUGAGGGACCUUCUAUUUGUCACUUGUGAGACCACCUUUGGAGUACUGUGUCCAGCUUUGUGCCCCUUGGCACAGGAAUGAGACUGAUAAACCAAACUGAGUUUAGCCAAGGCUGUGAGGGGAUGGUGCCAAGGCCGGAGAACAUGAUGUAGGAGAAGCUGAGAGCUGUGUUUGCUCGACCUGAAGAACAGAGACUAAGGGAAUAUCUAACUUUUGUGUCCAACUGCCUAAAGGAGGGUUAUAGAGAAGGUAGAACCAGGCUCUUCUCAGACGUGCAUAGCAAAAGGACAGGAGUCAAUGGCCGCUCUCUGUAGCAAGGGAAAUUCUGACCGAAUAUAAGGAAGAAAAAAUUGUAAUCGGUGGUUACACUGACAUAAGCUGUCCCAUUAACCAGUGGCAUAAGUUGCCCAGACAGCCUGUGCAAUCUCCAUCCUAGAAGGUUUUCAAAACUUCACUGGACAAAGCCUUGAGCAGCCUGAUCUAACUUUGAAGCUUUGAGUGGGCAUUUUGACAAGAUGACUUUCAGAGAUCCUUUCCAACCUAAUUUAUUCCAUGAUUCUACAGUAGUUGGAUACCAUAGGUAUAAUUCCCCAGCUAAUUGAACUGAAUCUGUCGUCAGUGUUAUUUUCACAGGCACACCUUUCCUAACCACCACAGAGAAAAAAAAAAGAGAAAAAAAAUUUUUUUUUUAGACAACAAAUUGUAGUAAAAUAAUAUGCAAGAACUACACAAAAACUCCAGUGUUUCAAAGCUGCCGGUUGCUGCUAGUGUUGGCAUGAGAGGAAGCGUAAAGUGGAUCAAAGUGCAAGGGCAAACAAUCUGAGGCAUUCUGCUAGUGGAAUCUCCUGUCAUCCUCCUGCUUCUCCAUAUGAUGAUGAUCCAAGCUGUUGAGUCUUGGAUUAGGUUCCAAGCACUGAAUCACUUAGACUCCCUGCCCUCCCCUGCAAUGAUCACAUAUAGAAAGCAGACAUGACUGAAAGAGACUCAGGCCACUUUAUAAAAGGAAAGCCACUUUUCGACACAGUCUUCCAUGCAAAAAGAUUGUUUGAUUUUAUUGUUUAACAAAUACCCCGAUCGUCUGAUAAGAAACAUGCUUGUCAAGCUUAGCGCCCUUCCUCGGACUGGAUAAAGGUGGGGUUAGGAAACCACAACUACUGCAAAAGAGGUGAUGGUACCCUUGAGAUGGGAUCUAUUUCUUGAUAACUUUUCUUCCCGAUGACCCCGAUCAUGUUUCAAUAUGAAGAUAUUGCAAAGAAAUGACAAACAUAUCUUCCCUGAUACCACAAAAGUGCAUUGACCAGGUAAUUUUUAUGUGGCUUGAAACCUCCAGAAUUAGAAGAAUAUUAAUGCUGCAAAGUGAAACCCUUGACUAUUUGGUAACAUUAACUCUAUCUUUUUAUUGAUAUGUACUGUAAUAAGCUAUUAUGAGGUGUAAUAAGCUAUUGCCUAACUGCUGUUGACUCCUGUGUAGACGGGAAAAGGACCCUGCUCUAGAUCAGUCUGGUAACUAGCAAAUGGUUAGUGAAUGUGUGUGUGGGGGGGGGCGGAGAAGAGCCUCUGGGCCUGUCUGUAUUGUUAUGUUAAACUAUGUCAGAGCACAGGCAUUGGCUUCCGGCACACUUUCGCCCUGAACAAAUUUACAGUCUUCAAACUUUGAGACAAAGAUAAUCGCCAUUUCCUUCUUUGCACCCCUGAAUUUGUUUGAGGUUGUUUGUCUUUGCCCUUGCAUGACUUGUCUUCUUCCUCCUAGAAUCAAACUAAAAUAAAAUUUCAAACAGGAUUUCUGAAGGUUUUUAGACGUUUGAGAAGAUCCUCUCUGUUGGAAUGACCCUAUGUGAUGCUGCAGCAGCUCAGUUCCUUUGACAAGGGAGAAAUCACUAUAAUUACUGACUGUAGUGCCCCCUACCUGGGAGAUCUGGGCAGCUUCAAGCAAUGAGAGAUAGUUAGGAGCUCCAUAGUUAGCAGGAGCAGUUUCAAACAGUAACGACAACCAUUCCUCACCCCUCUCACCUGGAGGAACUGAACUGCUGCCCUGCUGCCAUCUGCCUUCAGACCCUCCGGCCCUCAUUUGAACAACACCAUUUUGAAGUCCUGCGCCUCAUUAUGCUCAAUAUGCACAUGCCAAAUAAUCCUGUUUAACAAGUCCAUUGACUCCAGUAGGACUGUUUGUGGGCUUCAGCCUGUGUGUAUUUAAAUGCACGGCUCAUCCAGGCUUUAUCUUGGGCUACCACAGAAGAAAUGGAUGGGAAAUCUAUUCAGAGGAUAAAAAAUGUUGAAGCCUAUAUCUAACGUGCUGUUUUUUCCAGGUUUAAAGUAUAUAAACACUCUUAUAAUAAAUAUCUUUGGCAAAAUCCAUGACCCAGCUGUGCCACUAUUCUUGCAAUACAUCUGUGCCUGGAUUCGUUCUGCCUGCCUCUAGAAAAUUAUUUGAAGCACCUAAGUAACCAUUCGUGUUGCACUCCUUUGUGACAAUUGGUAGAGAGGUUAGGUCUUUCAGACAAAAAGUCGGAUCUUAGCUCAGCUCUUCUCUAGAAGUGGUGAAGAAGCUUAUCUCUGUUUAGGGUUCAUAGUGGGAAUUUACAGUGACUAGGCUGUGAAAUUAGAAGUCUGAAUUAAGUCCCUAAAGUCGGAGGCAGAAGAGGAUGCCUUCAGGUCUUAAUGUCUAAGAAUCACCUGUAAGUUUAUUAUUAAAGUCCUUGCACCCCAAACUCCUACUGACUGUGACCUGAUUAUUCAGGAUUACUGAACUGGUCCUAAUCCUGCUCCAGCUCUUUGUGUGGGUCCUGAAUCAGAGCCACGGGCUUCAGCACAGCUACGGGUGACUACAGCAGUCUGUCCUCUGUGCCGAGAGCUGUGAGAUCAGAGUCUGAGCAUCCACAUUCUCCAUGCAGAUGAUUUUGCACUACACGUACGAACCAGAUUAUUUUCAGUGAAGAAUCAUGUAUCAUGUGGCAAUUUAAAAAGACAAAAUCUUGCCCUUGGGGAAUUAAUUUCUAGCUAUGGAAUGUAACAGAUGAUAACACGUAUCCACAACAAAAUAUGAUAAAAUACCUUACGAGAUAAAUCCGGUGAAUAUAAAAUAUUAUAUGAACUGUAACUCAAGAUAUUCACCACGUUUGUUGAAAUGUCUCUCAUGCAGCAUUUUAAAAGACAUUAACAUUUUUUAAAGUAAUCUUUUCCCAGCAAAUCUAUAUUAAUAACUAUUUACAUAAUAAGUUAUUGUAAAAGAUACAUACAUCACAUAUUUCUUUGAAGAUAUGCACUGGGCAACUUGGAAUAAAUCCUACCUCAUUUAAUACAGAUUUUCUGAGACGUGUAGAAAAAUGAGAGUCCUGAAGAACCUGGAAAGAAUUCAAAUCUGAUGAAAAACAAAAAUAGUAUAUAUGAUUAAAUUUUUUCCAACCAGCUUUAAUAAAUACACCGAUAUUUAAAGCAGAACAAAACAGAAUAGUGAGGUAUGUCAACAUUUUUCAAGGCUUUUAAUCGUAUUUUAGAAGAAUACUGCUAACAUAUCCAAAUUAUUAUCGUUCCUUUCUUCUACAAAUUGCUAUAAAGUAAUUAAAAAAGCAAAAAAGUGUUAGAAGACCUAAAAUCCUUUCAACAAUAAACCAAAUAUAAUGGAGAUCACUAUAAUACCAAAAUGAUAUAAAAAUUGAACUAAAGUUAACACAGCAAGGAAAUAAUAAUAAAAAAAAAUUAUAGCAGGGAAAUUAAAAACUAAAAAGAGUGACAUUUGCUGUAUGAGGUAGAAAUUCAUUAAUAAAAUCAAUAAUACUUUUGCCUCAGAAGGUAUUUCCUAUGUAAAUUUUAAACUCAUGUCAUGUAAAAACUAUUCACUCUAAAAUCCCUAAUUUAGUCCCGUUUCUUCAGGCAUUUCAGCAUUUGAACACAUUUCCUGUAUGUACAAUUCAGUUCUUCAUUCUGUGAAUGCAAGCUUUUAAGACACAGUACCUGAGGUUCU